rnacentral:lncRNA from 13 species
UCCUGUAACAGUUUCUAGAUGAUGAUGAUAGUUCAAUCCUGUAACAGUUUCUAGAUGAUGAUGAUAGUUCACUCCUGUAACAGUUUCUAGAUGAUGAUAGUUCAAUCCUGUAACAGUACUAGAUGACGAUAGUUCACUCCUGUAACAGUUUCUAGAUGACGAUAGUUCACUCCUGUAACAGUACUAGAUGACGAUAGUUCACUCCUGUAAGAGUUUCUAGAUGAUGAUGAUAGUUCAAUCCUGUAACAGUUUCUAGAUGAUGAUAGUUCACUCCUGUAACAGUUUCUAGAUGACGAUAGUUCAAUCCUGUAACAGUUUCUAUAUGAUGAUGAUAGUUCAAUCCUGUAACAGUACUAGAUGACGAUAGUUCACUCCUGU